UGAGGAAUAUUGGUCAAUGGACGGAAGUCUGAACCAGCCAUGCCGCGUGCAGGAAUAAGGUCCUAUGGAUUGUAAACUGCUUUUAUUUGGGAAUAAACCUCCUUACGUGUAGGGAGCUGAAGGUACCAAAGGAAUAAGCACCGGCUAACUCCGUGCCAGCAGCCGCGGUAAUACGGAGGGUGCAAGCGUUAUCCGGAAUCAUUGGGCUUAAAGGGUCCGCAGGCGGGCUAAUAAGUCAGAGGUGAAAUCCCACAGCUUAACUGUGGAACUGCCUUUGAAACUGUUAGUCUUGAAUUAAGAUGGCGUUGGCGGAAUAGGUCAUGUAGCGGUGAAAUGCAUAGAUAUGACCUAGAACACCGAAAGCGAAGGCAGCUCACUACGGAUGUAUUGACACUGAGGCACGAAAGCGUGGGGAUCAAACA
rnacentral:rRNA from 1 species